CGAGCGAGCUUGCUCGCGUUGGGCUGCGCAGCGGCCUCAAAACAGAGAUCGCUGCGCAAUCCAGCGCGAGCAAGCUCCCUUC
rnacentral:misc_RNA from 1 species